CGCGUAGGUGGUAGUGAAAGUCUAUGGUGGAAUCUUAGGGCUUAACCCUAAAACUGCCUUGGAAACUUCAUUACUUGAGUCAGUGAGGGGAGGGUAGAAUUCUUGGUGUAGCGGUGAAAUGCGUAGAUAUCAGGAGGAAGGCCGGUGGCGAAGGCGGCCCUCUGGCGCUGAACUGACGCUGAGGCGCGAAAGCGUGGGUAGCAAACAGGAUUAGAUACCCUGGUAGUCCACGCCCUAAACGGUGGGUACUAGGUGUAGGGCUCGUAAGGGUUCUGUGCCGAAGGGAAACCAUUAAGUACCCCGCCUGGGGAGUACGGCCGCAAGGUUGAA
rnacentral:rRNA from 1 species